AGCGAACGCUGGCGGCAGGCUUAACACAUGCAAGUCGAACGGGCAUCUUCGGAUGUCAGUGGCAGACGGGUGAGUAACACGUGGGAACGUACCCUUCGGUUCGGAAUAACUCAGGGAAACUUGAGCUAAUACCGGAUACGCCCUUUUGGGGAAAGGUUUACUGCCGAAGGAUCGGCCCGCGUCUGAUUAGCUUGUUGGUGGGGUAACGGCCUACCAAGGCGACGAUCAGUAGCUGGUCUGAGAGGAUGAUCAGCCACACUGGGACUGAGACACGGCCCAGACUCCUACGGGAGGCAGCAGUGGGGAAUAUUGGACAAGGGGCGCAAGCCUGAUCCAGCCAUGCCGGGUGAGUGAUGAAGGCCUUAGGGUUGUAAAGCUCUUUUGUCCGGGACGAUAAUGACGGUACCGGAAGAAUAAGCCCCGGCUAACUUCGUG
rnacentral:rRNA from 1 species